rnacentral:rRNA from 1 species
GACCUCAAAUCAGGUAGGACUACCCGCUGAACUUAAGCAUAUCAAUAAGCGGAGGAAAAGAAACUAACAAGGAUUCCCCUAGUAACUGCGAGUGAAGCGGGAAAAGCUCAAAUUUAAAAUCUGGCGGUCUUUGGCCGUCCGAGUUGUAAUCUAGAGAAGUGCUAUCCGCGCUGGACCGUGUACAAGUCUCCUGGAAUGGAGCGUCAUAGAGGGUGAGAAUCCCGUCUUUGACACGGACUACCAGGGCUUUGUGAUGUGCUCUCAAAGAGUCGAGUUGUUUGGGAAUGCAGCUCAAAAUGGGUGGUAAAUUCCAUCUAAAGCUAAAUAUUGGCGAGAGACCGAUAGCGAACAAGUACCGUGAGGGAAAGAUGAAAAGAACUUUGGAAAGAGAGUUAAACAGUACGUGAAAUUGCUGAAAGGGAAACGCUUGAAGUCAGUCGCGUUGGCCAGGGAUCAACCUUGCUUUUGCUGGGUGUACUUUCUGGUUGACGGGUCAGCAUCAAUUUUGAUCGUUGGAUAAAGUCUGUGGGAAUGUGGCUUCUUCGGAAGUGUUAUAGCCCAUGGUCGCAUACAACGGUUGGGAUUGAGGAACUCAGCACGCCGCAAGGCCGGGUACUUGUACCACGUUCGUGCUUAGGAUGCUGGCAUAAUGGCUUUAAUCGACCCGUCUUGAAACACGGACCAAGGAGUCUAACAUGCCUGCGAGUGUUUGGGUGGAAAACCCGAGCGCGUAAUGAAAGUGAAAGUUGAGAUCCCUGUCGUGGGGAGCAUCGACGCCCGGACCAGACCUUUUGUGACGGAUCCGCGGUAGAGCAUGUAUGUUGGGACCCGAAAGAUGGUGAACUAUGCCUGAAUAGGGUGAAGCCAGAGGAAACUCUGGUGGAGGCUCGUAGCGAUUCUGACGUGCAAAUCGAUCGUCAAAUUUGGGUAUAGGGGCGAAAGACUAAUCGAACCAUCUAGUAGCUGGUUCC